rnacentral:rRNA from 1 species
AUACGUAGGGGGCGAGCGUUGUCCGGAAUGAUUGGGCGUAAAGGGCGCGUAGGCGGCCCGGUAAGUCUGGAGUGAAAGUCCUGUUUUUAAGAUGGGAAUUGCUUUGGAUACUGUCGGGCUUGAGUGCAGGAGAGGCAAGUGGAAUUCCCAGUGUAGCGGUGAAAUGCGUAGAGAUUGGGAGGAACACCAGUGGCGAAGGCGACUUACUGGACUGUAACUGACGCUGAGGCGCGAAAGUGUGGGGAGCAAACAGGAUUAGAUACCCUGGUAGUCCACACUGUAAACGAUGAAUGCUAGGUGUAGGGGGUAUCGACCCCUUCUGUGCCGCAGUCAACACAAUAAGCAUUCCGCCUGGGGAGUACGGCCGCAAGGUUGAAACUCAAAUGAAUUGGCGGGG